UGACCUUCUCUGGAGCAGGCGUCACUGUGGAAAGAACCAUCCGCCUCAAUGUUACCUGGAAAUCAGACCAGAUGAGACAGGUGGUCCUGGUGGCUGUCGGGGAGGCAGCAGUCAAGCUCCUGAUUCUUGGGCUCUGUCUCACACUUCUCAGGCUCACCCGCAGGACUCCAAGGUGCACAGCCAUGCUGAGAAUUCAAGACCCUUGAGGAAGGACUUACCUUAGGAACAGAGCAGUAUCUGAACUUAGAUUCCCCUGAAUUUCAUGGGGGCGAAGUCUCAGGAGUACCCAGAGAUCUAAGUUCACCAAGCUUUGCUCUUGUGUAAAGCACCUGUGUCCUCUAUGGCUCCCUGCAGAUAAUUCCUGGAUCCCGCUGAUUCCAACAGACAAUGGAUUACGCUGCUGUGUGAGUCUCACACUCUGUUGACCAUGUCUGACUUUACAAUAAGAGACCUGGGACUGAGUCUGUGUUUCUUAAUUCACAUCAUCAGAGGUCGUUCCCUCUAUUUUUGGUUUUUGUACUCAGUAUAAUGGGCUCCUGCCUUCUCCUCCUGCCUCACCUCUCUUUCUCCUUCCCUCUCUCCACAUCUCUCAUAUGGAGGAAUAUACACAAGUGUGGGACAAUGCUCUUGCGCAUGAGUACCAUG
rnacentral:lncRNA from 1 species